GCCAUUUUCGAUAUAUUCUUGAAUGUUUUUGAAUUAAAUACAUAAAUUGGAUUAAAUCACGUUGAAAACUGAACGAGAUUCUUUUGAACGAUUAUACGAUUGUACUUAUGACAUUUUCAUUUCAAAAGAAUUCAAGAAUCCAAGUUGAAACUGAGAACACUCAUACAUACAUACACAACAACUCGAAAUAAAGAUGGAGGACAAUCUUGAUAUGGAUUGAGUUUCGUU